rnacentral:rRNA from 1 species
AUUGAACGCUGGCGGAAUGCUUUACACAUGCAAGUCGAACGGCAGCACGGGGGCAACCCUGGUGGCGAGUGGCGAACGGGUGAGUAAUACAUAGGAACAUACCCAGUAAUGGGGGAUAACGCCGAGAAAUCGGUGCUAAUACCGCAUACGCCCUAAGGGGGAAAGCGGGGGAUCUUCGGACCUCGCGUUAUUGGAUUGGCCUAUGUCUGAUUAGCUAGUUGGUGAGGUAAAGGCUCACCAAGGCGACGAUCCGUAGCUGGUCUGAGAGGAUGAUCAGCCACACCGGAACUGAGACACGGUCCGGACUCCUACGGGUGGCUG